rnacentral:rRNA from 1 species
GACGAACGCUGGCGGCGUGCUUAACACAUGCAAGUCGAGCGAUGAAGCUCCUUCGGGAGUGGAUUAGCGGCGGACGGGUGAGUAACACGUGGGUAACCUGCCUCAUAGAGGGGAAUAGCCUUCCGAAAGGAAGAUUAAUACCGCAUAAGCUUGUAGUUCCGCAUGGAACAGCAAUUAAAGGAGUAAUCCGCUAUGAGAUGGACCCGCGUGGCAUUAGCUAGUUGGUGAGGUGACGGCUCACCAAGGCGACGAUGCGUAGCCGACCUGAGGGGGUGAUCGGCCACAUUGGGACUGAGACACGGCCCAGACUCCUACGGGAGGCAGCAGUGGGGAAUAUUGCACAAUGGGGGAAACCCUGAUGCAGCAACGCCGCGUGAGUGAUGACGGUCUUCGGAUUGUAAAACUCUGUCUUUGGGGACGAUAAUGACGGUACCCAAGGAGGAAGCCACGGCUAACUACUUGCCAGCCGCCGCCGUAAAAC